rnacentral:rRNA from 1 species
AGUGAACGCUGGCGGCAGGCUUAACACAUGCAAGUCGAACGCACCGCAAGGUGAGUGGCAGACGGGUGAGUAACGCGUGGGAACCUUCCCUUUGGUUCAGGAUAGCUCCGGGAAACUGGAAUUAAUACUGGAUAAGAUCUACGGAUGAAAGAUUUAUCGCCGAAGGAUGGGCCCGCGUAAGAUUAGCUAGUUGGUGAGGUAAUGGCUCACCAAGGCAAUGAUCUUUAGCUGGUCUGAGAGGAUGAUCAGC